rnacentral:snoRNA from 1 species
AAACGCCAUUUGGUAUCUGACUUGAAGUCAUUUUUUAUGAUUGUGUGUCUCGAAACAUGGCAGAAAUCAAAGGUUAACAGUUCUUGCGACACUAGUUGCUCACUUAUGAGCUUCGAGUUACUAUAUGCCCGUGUACAUGU